rnacentral:rRNA from 1 species
AUCAUCCUACGGGGCGCAGCAGUAGGGAAUCUUCCACAAUGGACGAAAGUCUGAUGGAGCAACGCCGCGUGAGUGAAGAAGGGUUUCGGCUCGUAAAGCUCUGUUGGUAGUGAAGAAAGAUAGAGGUAGUAACUGGCCUUUAUUUGACGGUAAUUACUUAGAAAGUCACGGCUAACUACGUGCCAGCAGCCGCGGUAAUACGUAGGUGGCAAGCGUUGUCCGGAUUUAUUGGGCGUAAAGCGAGUGCAGGCGGGUCAAUAAGGCUGAUGUUGAAACCUU